ACGAUACUCCCCCUCAUUUCUCAAUGAUUUUAGCUCUAGAUCACAGUCCCUCUCUCCUACACUAAUCUUGUCUUGAUUCUUUGUGAUUUCGAUACACACAUAGAUGGUUCUUCCAGCUGGGCUCAGUUCUUGACCUUCUCUUCUCUCGCCUCUCCAACUCCCUGUCAUAACCUUUCAUUACCAGUAAGUCCAACCCAUCUAUAAUCUUCAUGUCAUAUAUCCCACUCCCUGACACUGACACACACUGUCCUAGUCCACGCGGGCUGCUAUCACAAAAUACGAGAGGCUGCGUAUAGCUUAUAAACAACAGAAAUUUAUUUCUCACAGUUCUGAUGAGAGGUCCAAAGUCAAGGUGCCAGUAGAUUUGGUGUCUGGUGAGGGCACACUUUCUGACUCACAGAUGGCAUACUCUCACUGUAUCCUCAUGUGAUGGAAGCAGCAAGGCAGCUCUCUCAGGCCUCUUUUAUAAGGACCCGCUUUAGUUUGUCUGUCCCCUCCAAAACUCAUGUUGAAAUUUAAUUUCGACCAGGUGGGGUGGCUUACACUUGUAAUCCCAGCACUUUCGGAGGCCGAGGCAGGCAGAUCACCUGAGCUUAGGAGUUUGAGACCAGCCUGGCCAACAUGGUGAAACCUCGUCUCUACUAAAAAUAAAAAAAUUAGCUGGGCGUGUUGGCACACACCUGUAAUCCCAGCUACUUGGGAGGCUGAGGCAGGAGAAUCACUUGAGCCCAGAAGGCGGAGGCUGCAGUGAGCCG
rnacentral:antisense_RNA from 1 species